AUGGUCGCCGCAGACUCGGUGAACCUGUCCUCUGAUCCUCGAUUCACAACUCUUGAUGUGAACUCGAUAACCGUCCGCCAGAAUCCAAAAACGUUUUCAGGAGAUCCCGGGAAUUCGUUGGAGCUGCGCUGCACGGCGGAGGGAGGGGUCAACAGCGACUCUAUGUACUGGUACGGGCAAUCCACCGGGGAGGGUCUCCAGAACCUGUUCUAUUCCACGACUAGUAUGCACGUGGAACCGAAGGAGACGGCGAACGGUCUCUCCGCGGUCAGAACAGAUAGCCGGUUCGAUCUGAAGUUCACCGACCUGGCGGCAAAUCACUCAGCUCGGUAUAUCUGCGCAUGGAGUCUACACAGCGACGCGGCGAGGCGCCCGAGGUCGACAAAACCCUCCUCGCCUUUUAAAAAUGGGUAG